GUAGGUGAACCUGCGGAAGGAUCAUUAUUGAAAUAAACCUGAUGGGUUGUUGCUGGUUCUCUAGGGUGCAAGUGCACGCCUUGUCAUCUUUAUAUCUCCACCUGUGCACCCUUUGUAGACCUUUCAGGUCUAUGUUGCUUCAUUUACCCCAAUGUAUGUUAAUAGAAUGUUGUGCCUAUAAAAUAUAUACAACUUUCAGCAACGGAUCUCUUGGCUCUCGCAUCGAUGAAGAACGCAGCGAAAUGCGAUAAGUAAUGUGAAUUGCAGAAUUCAGUGAAUCAUCGAAUCUUUGAACGCACCUUGCGCUCCUUGGUAUUCCGAGGAGCAUGCCUGUUUGAGUGUCAUUAAUAUAUAUAUAUCAACCAUUCUCUUCUUGUUGAGUGGUUUGGAUGUGGGGGUUUGCUGGCCUUUUGAAGGGUUCAGCUCCCCUGAAAAGCAUUAGCAGAACAACCUGUUCAUUGGUGUGAUAACUAUCUACACUAUUGAAUGUGAAGGGCAGUUCAGCUUUCUAACAGUCUUUGGACAAAAUCAUCAAUGUGACCUCAAAUCAGGUAGGACUACCCGCUGAACUUAAGCAUAUCAAUAAGCGGAGGA
rnacentral:rRNA from 1 species